rnacentral:rRNA from 1 species
CCUACGGGGCGCACCAGUGGGGAAUAUUGCACAAUGGGCGCUAGCCUGAUGCAGCCAUGCCGCGUGUAUGAGGAAAGCCUUCGGGUUGUAAAGUACUUUCAGCGGGGAGGAAGGCGAUAAGGUUAAUAACCUUGUCGAUUGACGUUACCCGCAGAAGAAGCACCGGCUAACUCCGUGCCAGCAGCCGCGGUAAUACGGAGGGUGCAAGCGUUAAUCGGAAUUACUGGGCGUAAAGCGCGCGCAGGCGGUCUGUCAAGUCGGAUGUGAAAUCCCCGGGCUCAACCUGGGAACUGCAUUCGAAACUGGCAGGCUAGAGUCUUGUAGAGGGGGGUAGAAUUCCAGGUGUAGCGGUGAAAUGCGUAGAGAUCUGGAGGAAUACCGGUGGCGAAGGCGGCCCCCUGGACAAAGACUGACGCUCAGGUGCGAAAGCGUGGGGAGCAAACAGGAUUAGAUACCCGCGUAGUC